rnacentral:lncRNA from 1 species
AAAACAACAUAAUUUCCGGUAGAAUUAAGGUGCAAAAAGAGCUCUAAUAAUAUUAGUUUCAACCACUAAUGUUUUCACUUUCAUUUCUGAAAGCUCAAGUUCAGGCAUAAAUACUAAAUAGUACAGGCAAAUGCUGAAAAUAACUUAACUAUUCUUCAGUCAUUUAUACUCUUGGCUUGAGCCACAAUGAUCCCCAUUCUUGAUGAACUGCCAAAAGAGUCUUCAGUUGCCCAACUGAUUGAACAGCUACUAUUCAGCGAUCACGAUAUAUCUCCAUCCUCAUCGUCACCUUUGAUGCUGCCGUCACCGUCGACCUCAAACAUGUGAAGAAAUUGCAGUUGAAGAUUGAGGCAAUGAAUGGUCUCUGAAAGAGAAAGAGUAAAGGAUGGGUUUGUAUGCUUUAAAGGAAAUUCUUCUGGUGUGUGGGAAAAGAAUCUUCCAAGCAUAUGCUUCAAGCAUUAACAUUCUAGCCCAUCAUAUGUUAUUAUAUAUUAUAUUCCUUUAAACUUUAGUUUGUUUUAAUAUGAUUAUAAUGGGGGAAUGUGGUGGCUUGUUACAAACCAGAAAUUCUAGGAAUUAGCGGCUUUUGAUUUUUCUACUUUCUAUUGCAUUAUGCCAUGUCAUUCUUCUCUGGACUCUCUACACUUUCGUAUGAGAAUGACCAUUUUAGGAAGAGGAUAUAUAUUAAUAUAAAAUUAGAAUUCGAUUAUGAGAUAAUCUAAACUUAUAUACCUAAUACUAGGCUAUUUAACAUAAUCAUUUGAGAAUAAUUCAACUAACAAGCAAUGGGUUGGAAUUAAUGAUUGAAUUUGAAUCUAAUAAUGGUAAUUGGAGUAUUAAAUAUACUCAAUCAUUGCCAUCUUUUUUAUUUGCCAAGAUGGUCUCCAUUCGCAGGAUCCAGGCAGGCAUAAAAAAAGACUACACCUUACAUAUAUUAGCUGUCAGUUUGUAUAAAGUUCUGAUCAUUGGGACAGAACAACGCAAUUCAUGUCUUGUUAGUAAAACACAAAAAAUUGUCACCAUAAAUAUGUUAUACGUAAAAUUGUUUUAGACAAAAUCUUCUCUAAAUCCCAAACGUAUCCCCCCAAAUUUGAUCCAGUAAAAGCUAACAUUAGACUCGAUAAAAACAUUUAAUAAUUGAAGUCAACUAUUGAAUCCAACUUUACCAUGAAUUCAAGCACGAGACAGACACAAUUGAAGACAAUGUUAACAAGGAAGGCAGAAAAUUGGGAGGAACUUGGUCCAACCCAACUGGACAGCUUGACUUGGUUCCCACAUCCAUUUAUCAAAGGGCAACCCCAUCUUUUUCCAUUACCG